rnacentral:tRNA from 1 species
GUCAGGAUAGCCGAGCGGUCUAAUGCGCUGCGUUCAGGUCUCUGUCCACUCUUGUAGGCGUGGGUUCGAAUCCCACUUUUAACA